rnacentral:rRNA from 1 species
GAUGAACGCUAGCUACAGGCUUAACACAUGCAAGUCGCGGGGCAGCAUGGGGGUUGCUUGCAACGCCUGAUGGCGACCGGCGCACGGGUGAGUAACGCGUAUCCGACCUGCCCUUCACCCCGGGAUAACACGGCGACAGUCGGACUAACACCGUAUGUUGUCCAUUGACGGCCUCCGAUUUGGGGGAAAGGCUUGGCGGCGAAGGGCUGGGGAUGCGUCGGAUUAGCUUGACGGCGGGGUAACGGCCCACCGUGGAGACGAUCGGUAGGGGUUCUGAGAGGAAGGUCCCCCACGCUGGAACGGGGACACGGUCCGGACACCUACGGGAGGCAGCAGUGAGGAAUAUUGGUCAAUGGGCGUAAGCCUGAACCAGCCAAGUAGCGUGCAGGAUGACGGCCCUAUGGGUUGUGAACAGCUUUUAUGCGGGGAGAAAGUGGCCCACGUGUGGGCUUUUGCAGGUACCGCAUGAAUAAGGACCGGCUAAGUCCGUG